GGAAGGGGUGUGGCUCGCGCCUGCGCAGUGAGUCGCGCCCGCGGCGCGUGGUGACUGCGAGGAGCCUCGCGAGUCACGCUCCGGUACGGUCCGCCGAGGGCGCGCGGAGCUUGCAGACCAUGUCGUGGCUCUUCGGCAUCAAGGGCCCCAAGGGCGAAGGCACAGGGCCUCCGCUGCCCUUGCCGCCCGCUCAACCCGGGGCGGAGGGCGGCGGUGACCGCGGGGCGGGAGACCGGCCAUCGCCCAAGGACAAAUGGAGCAACUUCGACCCGACGGGCCUGGAACGUGCGGCCAAAGCGGCUCGCGAGUUGGAGCACUCGCGCCAUGCCAAGGAGGCACUGAGUCUCGCACAGAUGCAGGAGCAGACGCUGCAGCUGGAACAGCAGUCCAAGCUCAAGGAGUACGAAGCUGCCGUAGAGCAGCUGAAGAGCGAACAGAUCCGUGUGCAAGCCGAGGAAAGAAGGAAAACCCUGACUGAAGAGACACGACAGCACCAGGCUAGGGCCCAGUACCAGGAUAAGCUCGCUCGACAGCGCUAUGAGGACCAGCUGAAACAACAGCAACUUCUGAAUGAAGAGAAUUUAAGGAAACAAGAGGAGUCUGUGCAGAAGCAGGAGGCCAUACGGCGAGCCACUGUGGAGCGCGAGAUGGAGCUGAGGCAUAAAAACGAGAUGUUGCGGGUGGAAGCUGAAGCCCGAGCACGGGCCAAGGCUGAUCGAGAGAAUGCAGAUAUCAUCCGGGAACAGAUUCGACUCAAGGCUGCUGAGCACCGCCAGACCAUCUUGGAGUCUAUCAGGACAGCUGGCACCUUGCUUGGUGAAGGAUUCCGUGCAUUUGUGACAGACUGGGACAAAGUGACAGCUACGGUGGCUGGGUUGACACUAUUAGCUGUUGGAGUCUAUUCUGCAAAGAAUGCUACUUCUGUUGCUGGUCGGUAUAUUGAGGCCCGAUUGGGAAAGCCGUCCUUGGUGAGAGAGACCUCCCGAAUCUCAGUGCUAGAGGCAUUGAGGCAUCCCAUCCAGGUCAGCAGGCGACUGGUCAGCAGACCCCAGGAUGCAUUGGAGGGCGUCAUCCUCAGUCCUAGCCUGGAGGCACGGGUCCGAGAUAUUGCCAUCGCAACAAGAAAUACCAAGAAGAACAAAAGCCUGUAUAGGAACGUUCUGAUGUAUGGGCCCCCGGGGACUGGCAAGACACUAUUUGCCAAGAAACUUGCACUGCAUUCAGGCAUGGACUACGCCAUCAUGACAGGCGGGGACGUGGCCCCAAUGGGGCGGGAGGGUGUGACUGCCAUGCACAAGGUCUUCGACUGGGCAAGCACCAGCCGACGAGGCCUCCUGCUCUUUGUGGAUGAAGCAGACGCCUUCCUCAGGAAACGAGCGACUGAAAAGAUAAGUGAAGACCUCAGGGCUACUCUGAAUGCCUUCCUACACAGGACAGGACAGCACAGUAGUAAGUUCAUGCUGGUCCUGGCCAGUAACCAGCCUGAGCAGUUUGAUUGGGCUAUCAAUGACCGCAUUGACGAGAUGGUCUGCUUUGCCCUGCCACAGCGGGAGGAGCGAGAGCGCCUGGUGAGAAUGUAUUUUGACAAGUAUGUCCUUAAGCCGGCCACAGAAGGAAAGCAGUCAGGAAGGAAGGCUGAGGAUAUCUGGCAGAGUUUACCUCAUCCAACUUCGGCUGUACAAAAAAGCCCACGCACUAAUGGUGGAAGCAUCUGAUAAGAGUGUGAUCCUGGGCAGCCUUGCUCGCCAAUCUCCCCAGCCCCGUUUGUAUAGAGCCAUGGAAGCCCAGACCCACUUAGGAACUUUUCCUCCAGGCGCUUGAAGGUGGCCCAGUUUGACUAUGGAAAGAAAUGCUCAGAGGUUGCCCAGCUAACGGAGGGGAUGUCAGGCCGGGAGAUUGCUCAGCUUGCUGUGGCGUGGCAGGCCAUGGCAUAUUCAUCUGAGGAUGGAGUCCUCACGGAAGCUAUGAUGGAUGCCCGUGUGCAGGAUGCUGUGCAGCAGCACCAGCAGAAGAUGCAGUGGCUUAAAGUAGAGAGACCCGAUUCCCAGACCAACAAGCCGCCACAUCCUUCACUCCUCAGCUGCUGAGCUGGACCUGGACACCUUGUACACCUGACUGGGGCAGCCAGUCUCUAUGACCACACUGCUCCCUCCUUUCCUGUCUUCUUUGACCUCUGUAAGAGGUCAACAUUGCUCCAAAUGCCUCUGCGGAGUUGUGGGAUACUGGAGGUGUCAGCUUCUCUGCCUCCCACACCUCCUCGUCUCUGACUCUGAGUGCUGGCAGAGGGAGGCAUACUGCCUUCCUUUACCUCAGUACACUGGUGAGACAUGUCUACAAGCCCAGAGCAGAGCAGAGAGUGUGCAGAGUGCCGUACCACAAGCCAGUGGCUAUGCCAGCGGGACUGGGGCCUACAGGGACCAGGCUAAAGGCACAGGGGGCCCUCAGCUUCCUGGACAUUACUCCUACCAUAUACACAUCUGUGCCAAGAAUUGGCCCAGUCUUUACUCGGUAGAGUGGAUCUGGUGCUAGACAGCGCUUGGCCCGUGGCAUCCAAGCGUCAGAACUACCGCCUUCCCUCUACUGAGUCCGGGCCUUUUAAAUCCAGAAUCGAAUAAAACUGUGACUGAUUUUCUGA